rnacentral:rRNA from 1 species
AAUGAACGCUGGCGGCAGACCUAACACAUGCAAGUCGAACGCAUCGCAAGAUGAGUGGCGCACGGGUGAGUAACACGUGGGAAUGUAUCCUUUGGUUCGGAAUAACGUCUGGAAACGGACGCUAAUACCGGAUGAGCCCUAUGGGGGAAAGAUUUAUCGCCGAAGGAGCAGCCCGCGUCUGAUUAGGUAGUUGGUGGGGUAAAGGCCUACCAAGCCGACGAUCAGUAGCUGGUCUGAGAGGAUGAUCAGCCACACUGGGACUGAGACACGGCCCAGACUCCUACGGGAGGCAGCAGUGGGGAAUAUUGGACAAUGGGCGCAAGCCUGAUCCAGCCAUGCCGCGUGAGUGAUGAAGGCCUUCGGGUUGUAAAGCUCUUUCGCACACGACGAUGAUGACGGUAGUGUGAGAAGAAGCCCCGGCUAACUUCGUGCCAGCCGCCGCGGUAACAC